rnacentral:pre_miRNA from 14 species
AAGUAUUUAAAGUUUUGAUGAGUGGAGUGGAGUGGUACGAGGUUUCCCCGCGAAAUGUUUGUCCACUUCUCCACUCAUCAAAACUUUGAAUAU